ensembl:lncRNA
AUGCGUGGGGCCUUCAGGGAGCAAGCGGGCUGCUUCUGUGUUGGGCUACAACAUGUGUUAGAGACGGGAGGUGGGAGAGACGGGGAGAGGGAGAGAAAGGAGGGGGAGAGACGGGGAGAGGGCAAGGCUGGGUGUGAGGGGCGGGGCCUGCGGCGGGGUGCUCCCAUUCCCGGGGCUUUGGUGGGACACGAGGAGAGUGACGGCUGGCAGGCUGCGAGGGGAGGGCGGCACCGUCCCCCGAGGCCCAGCCCAGCCAGCACCGGGCCCACCCUCCGGCUCUCCUCCGGGCGUGGCACGGUCCCGGCCUCAGGCUCUGCCUCCUGGUCCCAGAGCAGGGACCCGGUCAGCCGCAGUCGGCUCUCCUGGCGUGCCUUAAAACUCAUGGUUGGCACCUGGGCGUCCCCCAGGACCUGUGGGCUGUGGCCUGCAUGUGCCCAGUGCUGCCCGUGUGCGGGGUCGGCUCGCCCUGCACCAUCUCUGGCGGAGUGUGUCCUCUUGCUGCCUUCCUCACCCUCUGGGUGGGGCGUGGCCCGGGACUCGCUGGAGCCAACCAGGUAGAGGGAGAACGCCCACCUGCUUGCCUGUCACUUCUUGCCAUGGCAACAGGCAGAUCCUGGGGCGGAGCCUCCAGGGGCCCAGACCCCUGAGGGAGAGUUAGGAGGGACCCAUCUGUGCUGCUGGGGGCGCUGGUCACCCCGUGCGCCACUGAGCCUGGCCUGGUGGGAGAAGCGUGGCCUCACGGAAGGAGCCGCUCGAGGUCGCAAACCCAUUCCCGGCAGCAGGAAGUCGGGGCCGAGUGUGGGGCCCAGGCAGGAGCGAGCGCCUGGCCGCUGGCACCGCCGUGCUCCUCGUGGGAAGCGCCCAGCCGCGUCCUCGCCGUGGGGAAGGGCUUGCCGGGGACUGGAAGGCAGGGCGGCGUCCACACCUGUCUGUCGCAGGGAUCGCCGCCUGGCGCGCCAUCCGGGAACUUGGAGACGCGGCUGCGGCCGUACCUUCCGUGCCCGGAAAAGCCCUGCUCCCCUGGGCAGAGGGACCUUCUGGAAAUGCUGCCGGGGGGUGCAGCCGUGCCGGACGGUGAGACGAGUGGGCAGCGCUGGGCAGCUCCACGUGGUCCCGCAGGAAGUGCGGAUUCUGGGGCCGCUGCUGUGGCGCUGGCUCCCCUGCGGGAGCGCUGGUUCGAGUUCCGGCUGCUCCGCUUCGGAUCCAGCUCCCUGCUAACGCGCCCGGGAAGGCAGCAGAAGACGGUCCAGGUACUGGGCUCCUGCACCCACUGGGAGAGCCGGGUGCCACUGCAGCCACGUGGGCUUGAACCACGGGAUGGCAGGACCCCGCCCCCACCUCUCUGACUUCUGCAAACUCUGGGACUUUCUGGAGCGGGCGUGGUUUGUGCGUUUUCUGCCGUCUCACCCUCUGCAGCGGGGAGCAGGCUGCGCUCCCGUCUGGGAGGAGCCCGGCUCCCACCGUGCGCCUGCGCCACCUCCCGGCAGGGGCUCUGUGAGCGCAUCCUUGGGGGUCACUUUCACUCUGGGGGCUCCCCAGGAGCAGUGGGAGGCCCCGA